rnacentral:rRNA from 1 species
CACGUAGGGGGCAAGCGUUAUCCGGAUUUAUUGGGCGUAAAGAGCUCGUAGGUGGUUCGGUAAGUCGGGUGUUAAACCCCCAGGCUCAACCUGGGGACGCCACUCGAUACUGCUGUGACUUGAGUCCGGUAGGGGAGCGUGGAAUUCCUGGUGUAGCGGUGAAAUGCGCAGAUAUCAGGAGGAACACCAGCGGCGAAGGCGGCGCUCUGGGCCGGUACUGACACUGAGGAGCGAAAGCGUGGGUAGCAAACAGG